rnacentral:rRNA from 1 species
CUCAACCUGGGAAUGGCAUUUUGAACUGGCAGGCUCGAGUUCUGAAGAGGGUGGUAGAAUUUCCAGUGUAGCGGUGAAAUGCGUAGAUAUUGGAAGGAAUACCAGUGGCGAAGGCGGCCACCUGGUCAGAAACUGACGCUGAGGUACGAAAGCGUGGGGAGCAAACAGGAUUAGAUACCCUGGUAGUCCACGCCGUAAACGAUGUCAACUAGUUGUUCGUUUCAUAAACGAAGUGAGUAACGCAGCUAACGCACUAAGUUGACCGCCUGGGGAGUACGGCCGCAAGGUUAAAACUCAAAUGAAUUGACGGGGGCCCGCACAAGCGGUGGAGCAUGUGGUUUAAUUCGAUGCAACGCGAAGAACCUUACCAUCCCUUGACAUCCAGUGAAUCCUUCAAAGAUGAGGGAGUGCCUUCGGGAACAC